GCUGGGCAUGGUGGUGCGUGCCUGUAAUCCCAGAUACUUGGGAGGCUGAGGCAGGAGAAUCGCUUGAGCCUGGGAUGUGGAGGUUGCAGUGAGCAGAGAUCGCACCACUGCACUCCAGCCUGGGCAACAGAGUGAGACUCCGUCUCAA
rnacentral:SRP_RNA from 1 species